AUCUUGCGCAAUGGGCGAGAGCCUGACGCAGCCAUGCCGCGUGAAUGAUGAAGGUNUUNNGAUUGNANAAUUCUUUCACCGGGNNNNNUAAUGACGGUACCCGGAGAAGAAGCCCCGGCUAACUUCGUGCCAGCAGCCGCGGUAAUACGAAGGGGGCUAGCGUUGCUCGGAAUUACUGGGCGUAAAGGGCGCGUAGGCGGACAUUUAAGUCAGGGGUGAAAUCCCAGAGCUCAACUCUGGAACUGCCUUUGAUACUGGGUGUCUUGAGUGUGAGAGAGGUAUGUGGAACUCCGAGUGUAGAGGUGAAAUUCGUAGAUAUUCGGAAGAACACCAGUGGCGAAGGCGACAUACUGGCUCAUUACUGACGCUGAGGCGCGAAAGCGUGGGGAGCAAACAG
rnacentral:rRNA from 1 species